rnacentral:lncRNA from 1 species
GGAAAAUCAAUUCGGAAAGUCCAAAAUCACAUGGCAAAAUCAAAUAACAAAACGCAUCAAAAACGAAUGGACAAGAACUGUCAUAUUCCUGACUUGGUACAGGCAUUUCCAAAUGUAGAAAAUGGUGGAUUAAACCUGGUUCUAUGGCGCUAACCCUCUCACUUUAAUGACAGUCUCAUCAAAUUCCGUUAUAUUUACAUUGAUGCGUUAACUAAACAGACACAAUAAAUAAAA